CAUUUGGUGCUGGUCCUCCUGGGGCUUUGUUCCCAUUUAACGUUUUACGGCGGUGGCAGACAAACUGGGAGCAAGCAGGCUAAAGUUAACAUUAAUUUAACUACGGCAAAAGGAAUUUAGUUGUUUGUGUUGUAAUGAAUUACUCAUGGAUGUUGUUACUUUGAGAGGCUUCUCAAGUUGAAGUGAGUGCGAUAAACUAAUCAUUUCUCCUUGCUGUUUCCUCAAUGGAAUUUAACGCUUCCAAACUUUAGUUAUCGGAAGACAAAAGGGAUUUAAUACGUCCUUUUAUAUCUGAGCUGUUUUCCAAACACGGUUUACAGGCAGUGACUGUUGGACUUUCGUAUCUCCAGUCAUGGUUGUGUGGUCUCCUGCACUAGUUUUAUUGUUACAUCAGACUAAAUCUAAAUUAGCUUUUC